rnacentral:rRNA from 1 species
GAUGAACGCUGGCGGCGUGCCUAAUACAUGCAAGUCGAGCGAACGGACGAGAAGCUUGCUUCUCUGAUGUUAGCGGCGGACGGGUGAGUAACACGUGGAUAACCUACCUAUAAGACUGGGAUAACUUCGGGAAACCGUAGCUAAUACCGGAUAAUAUUUUGAACCGCAUGGUUCAAAAGUGAAAGACGGUCUUGCUGUCACUUAUAGAUGGAUCCGCGCUGCACUAGCUAGUUGGUAAGGUAACGGCUUACUAAGGCAACGAUGCAUAGCCGACCUGAGAGGGUGAUCGGCCACACUGGAACUGAGACACGGUCCAGACUCCUACGGGAGGCAGCAGUAGGGAAUCUUCCGCAAUGGGCGAAAGCCUGACGGAGCAACGCCGCGUGAGUGAUGAAGGUCUUCGGAUCGUAAAACUCUGUUAUUAGGGAAGAACAUAUGUGUAAGUAACUGUGCACAUCUUGACGGUACCUAAUCAGGAAGCCACGGCUAACUACGUG